GAGGGUAUAGUUCUGUGGUAGAGUGCAUGCCUAGCAUGCAUGAGGUCCUGGGUUCAAUUCUUAGUACCUCCA
rfam:Camelus ferus unplaced genomic scaffold scaffold24, whole genome shotgun sequence.